rnacentral:sRNA from 1 species
CCCCCCACUUUUCUCGCAGCAACUCAUUUUUUAAAAUUUACACAUAAAAAAUUGAAUUAUCAUGGAGUUGCCACCCCCCCCCCCCCCACUUUUUAUGGAGGAUGUAAAAAAAAUGAUAUGAAAAUAAGGAAAUGGGGAUUGAAAUUGAAGUUAUAUACUACGCCAGCCCCCCCCCCCCCCCCCCCCCCCCCCCGGAUUAGGAUUUUGAAGAUUUUGGAAAAGUCUUAUUUCCUUUUUUUCUGCUUGUCAAGAUCUUUUUGAUGAGUCUGCCCCCCCCCCCCCCCACUUUCAAAAACGAUGCUACGUGCCUGUACCCAGAGGUACAAAGGUUCGAGCCACCGAUGCACCGGUACAACAUGCAUUUUUUCUAAUUUGAUCUUAACUUGCAUACACUAUUUAUUCCAUUAUAUUCAUCGUCACAAAACUUGCAAUAACUUCGUAAAAUGCAUUGAUACCAUGAAAAAUUCUUUUUAUUUUAUUUCAAUUAUAAAGUUUGAAGGAUGAAUUACAUUUUUAGGAUGAAAAUAAAAUACUUGAGGCUGAGGAUCGGAGAAUUUUAAUGCAUUGACACUGUAAACAUUUGGAAUAAAAUAUAUACUAGUAAUCUACAAUGUAUGCAAAUUAAGUUUUUUGAACAUAAGACAAGAUAAAUAUCUGAAAACUUUUAAAUUAAAAUAUUUCCAAUUU